rnacentral:lncRNA from 1 species
GGAUCAGACCAUCUCUCUCAUCAGUUUCCUCGAUGCAACACAGUACAAUGUCAUCCCUACAAGGUACAGAGACCAUUUAAUGAGGUGAUUCACGUCAGCCCAGAAGAUCUGCCCUUUCUUGUUAUCUGCUACUCCAUCAGCCUUUGCAUUGCCUGCAUAUUUACUGGAGGCACACGUCUGGCUCAUCUCUAUGCCUUCAAGAGCAUCAGAAACCAGGAGGUAACUUUGUCAGUGGCAACAAAGAGCUCGAGAAAAUUAAUGAGAAAAGCUAUUACUGAAAACAGUCUUUUCAUCAAAGCUGAAGUCAUCCAAGCACACCCUUACACUAACAAGGCGUCCCAGGGAGACACAGCUCUGGAGGAGGUUGGUGAAGGGAUUCUCCGGUCACAUCCAGUGCGCUCUUCUCUACAGACUGUGUUUCUGGGAAGUCACCCUGGCUGCUGAAGAAUGGAUGGAUGUGAAGGGGCCCAACUGCCCCAGGGGCAGCCAAGCAGAGAGAGGGGAAGCACGGGUACACCAUACUGCUUGAGCCACAUGGCCUCAUUUGCCAAGAUGUUGCAAGGCCUGUGUCAGAAAUACGUACAAGCUGGUGUUUCUUCUCUGUCUGAUGAAGGAACGUAGCUGAAAUGCAGUCCAUUAGGCCUUCUUGGGAGGAGUGAGGAAUGGUAAAGAAGGAGAGAGGACCAAAGGAAGAGGAAGUCGGCCACAUCGCCACUCCCCAAAAUGGUGCUUGGCACAUGGUGCUGGGCCUUGCUUGUCCCCCCUGGUGCAGGCCAGACACCUGGUCUGGAGUGGGCGUCCAGCGAUGCUCAUGCCAUCUCUCCUUCCUCAGAAUGACCUUGUCUCCACCACUGUAACAAGUCUGGUUUUCAAAGCUUACUUUUUAUUUUAGGGAGAGCAAAAGGUAUUGCACUUCAGUGGCCAUUAGUAAAUGGAUAGACACAAGCUGACAAGAUAAAGUAGAAAACUGUCCCCUGUUAUUUACAGUAGUGAUCUCCAAUGAAUAUAAAAUAUAUUCUUCUUUUGUGCCAGAAUGAUUCCCUUAAUUUUCAAGAUCUCCCUCCUCUAAAGAAUCUGACUUCUUUAUUUUGUUUUUUUUUUAUUUUUUUGGAGGGAACAAUGCAGAAUGGUAGUUUGUUGUGUCACAGUUAGAGGGCUGUUUUCUCUGCUCAUCAAAACUGGACAAAAAGGUCCUUGUUGUCAAUGGAUACAUAGCCUUGAUGACAAAGUGCAGAAAGGUUUGCAAAGGCUAGCAGUUGAUUAAAUGUUUUAAUUUAAACUGUCAUUUAUUUAUUUAAUGCACCACUAAAAGCUUACCACUGUUCAGAGUGAAUUGUUCUGUUAAUAGUAAUGGCAAUAGUUUCCACUUACAGUAAAAUAUAGCCUUCUUACCUCUUUUUUGUUACUUUUUUUCUUA